rnacentral:rRNA from 1 species
GACGGAGGAUGCAAGUGUUAUCCGGAAUCACUGGGCGUAAAGCGUCUGUAGGUUGUUUAAAAAGUCUGCAGUUAAAGGUUGAGGCUUAACUUCAAAAAUGCCGUAGAAACUUUUAAACUAGAGGAUGGUAGGGUAGAGGGAAUUCCCAGUGGAGCGGUGAAAUGUGUAGAUAUUGGAAAGACCACCGAUGGCGAAGGCACUCUACUGGGCCAUGACUGACACUGAGAGACGAAAGCUAGGGGAGCAAAUGGG